rnacentral:rRNA from 1 species
UAGGGAAUAUUGGACAAUGGGCGAAAGCCUGAUCCAGCCAUGCCGCGUGAGUGAUGAAGGCCUUAGGGUUGUAAAGCUCUUUCGCCAGGGACGAUAAUGACGGUACCUGGAUAAGAAGCCCCGGCUAACUUCGUGCCAGCAGCCGCGGUAAUACGAAGGGGGCUAGCGUUGUUCGGAAUUACUGGGCGUAAAGCGUAUGCAGGCGGGUCGCUAAGUCAGGGGUGAAAUCCCGAGGCUCAACCUCGGAACUGCCUUUGAUACUGGUGAUCUUGAGUCCGGGAGAGGUGAGUGGAACUGCGAGUGUAGAGGUGAAAUUCGUAGAUAUUCGCAAGAACACCAGUGGCGAAGGCGGCUCACUGGCCCGGUACUGACGCUGAGAUACGAAAGCGUGGGGAGCAAA